AUUGUCGGCGAUGGUGACAAGCGAUGAGUCUAGACCUGUGAAACUGGACGCCCUUGACGUCAUUCUACCCGCGCUUGAAAACAAUUCUCUUGUCUUUCUAAAUCGGUGAAAACAAGAGGUCGUGAUUCUACCGAGCGCCAUUUGCAAUCUAAAGUCGAGUACAUAAUAGUUUCGAAGUUGAGAAUAUUAGGAUGGAUUCGGGGCAUGACAUUGUAGAGGAGGACCCAGAGGCCUACACAAAAGAAGAGGAACCCCGGCGAGCCGUAUCAGUUGAAGGUGUUGGGAGACAUAAUAUCAAAGAAGUAGACCCCGAUGCGGACACGAAAGAAGAGGAACCCCGGCGAGCCGUAUCAAUUGAAGAUGCGGGGAGACAUAAGGUGGUUUUCCGCUACUCGCCUCUCACGCCAAAACGAUUGAAAGAAUUCUACCCGAAGGAUAAAGUGAUAGGUGACGGGGUAAUGGUGUUUGGCAGACUUGCACCUUCAGGGGGUGUCCAGGUAAAACUUAAUGACGCGACGAUUUCACAAAGACAAUUUUCAUUGACACUUGUCCACAAACCGGACCAGUGGUACUUCGUUUUUAAAAACCUGAGCAGGCUUAAGAAGGUUUUCCUAAAUGAAGAAACUUUGGGACGGGAUGAAAGCAGACGACUUCCCCAGGUAUCACGAUUGCGUAUUCGUGAUCUUGAUUCUAAGUACGGUGAAGGGCAAAGCAUGGACUUUUUGUUGUGCGUGGAGACGUCAAAUAGAUGGAGUAGUUACUUAUUCGAGGUAACAUUUAAAGCUGACUCGAACUUAGACUUCGCAAUGAAUACACCAGGUUCACAGCUGAAUGCGCCCGUGCAGUGUUCCCUCUCAGCCAAUGCGUCACCAGAGGCACCCAGAAGGUGUCACAGUCUUGAUGAUAAUGCCUUCCAACAAUGAAAUUGGUCUCUCUGUCA